rnacentral:rRNA from 1 species
CACGUGGGCAACCUACCCUCAGCUCUGGGAUAACCCCGGGAAACCGGAGCUAAUACCGGAUAUGACCUAGAACGACAUCCGUUCUCGGUGGAAAGUUUUUCGGCUUGAGGAUGGGCCCGCGGCCUAUCAGCUUGUUUGGUGAGGUAAUGGCUCACCAAGGCGACGAUCAGUAUCUGGUUUGAGAGGACGAUCGAAGACACACUGGAACUGAGACACGGUCCAGACUCCUACGGGAGGCAGCAGUUAGGGAAUCAUCCGCAAUGGGCGAAAGCCUGACGGUGCAACGCCGCGUGAGUGAUG